CUUGUGACCAUAUCAUGUUGAAACAUUGGUUCCUGUAUGAUCACCAAAGUUAAGCAACAUGAAGCCUGGUCAGUACCAACAUGGGUGACCUCUUGGAAAUACCAAGUGUUGUA